GAGCGAGGGUUCUUUGCCCGAGUUAGAAACAUAGUCUGGUCUGAAGUGGAAUGUGGUGCGUCGAUUGUCGGCCUAGAAUGGGUUCUGACGUCAGCUACUUGCGCUCAAUUGGUCACUCGAGGAAGUAACAGGCUUUUGAAAGUUGACAGUUGGACUAGAAACGGUACCAAGGAGACAUUAGAAGUUGUCGAGCAAUUCUCCACAAAUGGUUUCACUUAUGACGAUGGAAUCACGCUGAUGAAGCUGAACAAACAACUAUCUUCGGACAGAAUCAUUCCACUAUGUACAUCCCAACUUCCUCACGGAACCCCGGUAGCCACUUUUGGGCUGGGAUCACUAUCGAAGGCUGUAUUUGAAUCUUCAGAAUUGCCUCAAAGUCAUCUAGCGAUGGAAAACAUAUACUUCGAAAAAGAGUUCAAAUCAUCUGUAAUUAACGACUUUAGUAUAUGUGAGGAUGAUCUUUUGUGCAUUGGACGCACUUAUCAGAGUUGGAGUUCUUGUUUCUAUUAUUCAGGGAACCCUCUUUAUACGCUAGGAAACAUUGAAGGAGUGGGUUUCUGUUUGGCCGGUGUUAGCUUGUUUGACAAUAGAAAAUAUCACGUGAAUGGUAGAAAAUGUCUGUUACACGAAGAAAUUGCAAAAAUUGAUUAUUUCAAAGAAUGGAUGAAAAUGUCUAUGAAAGAACCGCCGUAAAUACACGAAUGAUGUAUGUAAUUCAUAACGUGCAGAUGCUUAUAGAUAUCAGAUUGCGAAUGUUGAAAUUUAAAUUUAUCUAACGAGAUCUGAUUAAGUUCUAUAAAU